rnacentral:rRNA from 1 species
GACGAACGCUGGCGGCGUGCUUAACACAUGCAAGUCGAGCGAUGAAGCACCUUCGGGUGUGGAUUAGCGGCGAACGGGUGAGGAACACGUGAGGAAUCUGCCUUUCACUUCGGGAUAACUCCGGGAAACCGGGGCUAAUACCGGAUAUUUUCAACUGGCGGCAUCGCCGGUUGAAGAAAGUUUUUCGGUGAAAGAUGACCUCGCGGCCUAUCAGCUUGUUGGUGAGGUAAUGGCUCACCAAGGCGACGACGGGUAGCCGGCCCGAGAGGGCUACCGGCCACACUGGGACUGAGACACGGCCCAGACUCCUACGGGAGGCAGCAGUGGGGAAUAUUGGGCAAUGGAGGAAACUCUGACCCAGCGACGCCGCGUGAGGGAUGAAGGCCUUCGGGUUGUAAACCUCUUUCAGCAGGGAAUAAGCGAAAGUGAAGGUACCUGCAGAAGAAGCACCGGCUAACUAUGUGCCAGCCGCCGCAGUAA